rnacentral:rRNA from 1 species
UACAGGGGCGGCAAGCGUUGUUCGGAAUUAUUGGGCGUAAAGAGCACGUAGGCGGCUUUGUAAGUCAGUUGUGAAAGCCUUCUGCUUAACGGAAGAACAGCAUCUGAUACUGCAAGGCUGGAGUAUGGAAGGGGAGAGUGGAACUUCUGGUGGAGCGGUGAAAUGCGUAGAUAUCAGAAGGAACACCGGCGGCGAAGGCGACUCUCUGGUCCGUAACUGACGCUGAGUGUGCGAAAGCUAGGGGAGCAAACGGG